rnacentral:rRNA from 1 species
UACGAAGGGGGCUAGCGUUGUUCGGAAUUACUGGGCGUAAAGCGCACGUAGGCGGAUCGAUCAGUCAGGGGUGAAAUCCCAGGGCUCAACCCCUGGAACUGCCUUUGAUACUGUCGAUCUGGAGUAUGGAAGAGGUGAGUGGAAUUCCGAGUGUAGAGGUGAAAUUCGUAGAUAUUCGGAGGAACACCAGUGGCGAAGGCGGCUCACUGGACCGGAACUGACGCUGAGGCGCGAAAGCGUGGGGAGCAAACAGG